AUUGAACGCUGGCGGCAUGCCUUACACAUGCAAGUCGAACGGUAACGGGCCUUCGGGUGCCGACGAGUGGCGAACGGGUGAGUAAUACAUCGGAACGUGCCCGAUCGUGGGGGAUAACGAGGCGAAAGCUUUGCUAAUACCGCAUACGAUCUACGGAUGAAAGCAGGGGACCGCAAGGCCUUGCGCGGACGGAGCGGCCGAUGGCAGAUUAGGUAGUUGGUGGGAUAAAAGCUUACCAAGCCGACGAUCUGUAGCUGGUCUGAGAGGAUGAUCAGCCACACGGGGACUGCGACACGCGCCAGACACGCAUGAGACCGAGUGGUGGGGAACAUGGGCCAGUGGGCUGGGUCGUGAUCCGUUCAUGCCGCGAGCAGGAUGCUGGCUUUAGGGUGGUAGGCUGCUUGAUGACAUAAAAAAAAGCCUCCGUUUAAUACAGGAGGGUCGUGGCCGUACCGUAAGAAUAGACCCCCGCUAACUCCGUC
rnacentral:rRNA from 1 species